rnacentral:misc_RNA from 1 species
GAUGAAGAACGUAGCGAAAUGCGAAAAGUAAUGUGAAUUGCAGAAUUCAGUGAACCAUCGAAUCUUUGAACGCACAUUGCGCCCGCUGGAACUCCGGCGGGCACGCCUGUCCGAGCGUCAUUUCAACCCUCAGGCCCCCCUUCGCGGGCGGGCCUGGUGUUGGGGCCCGGCCGCUACCCUGCGGCCGUCCCCUAAAUCCAGUGGCGGCCUCGCCGUGAUCCCUUGCGUAGUAAUGCACCUCGCACCGGAGAGCGCCGUGGCCACGCCGUAAAACCCCCAAUUUUCAAUGGUUGACCUCGGAUCAGGUGGGAAUACCCGCUGAACUUAAGCAUAUCAUAAGCGGAGGA